rnacentral:rRNA from 1 species
UACGAAGGGGGCUAGCGUUGCUCGGAAUUACUGGGCGUAAAGCGCGUGUAGGCGGCUAUGCAAGUCGGGCGUGAAAUCCCACGGCUCAACCGUGGAAGUGCACUCGAAACUGCGUAGCUAGAGUCCCGGAGAGGAAGGUGGAAUACUUGGUGUAGAGGUGAAAUUCGUAGAUAUCAAGUGGAACACCGGUGGCGAAGGCGGCCUUCUGGACGGUGACUGACGCUGAGACGCGAAA